rnacentral:rRNA from 1 species
CUGAGUACGGCGGAACACGUGAAAUUCCGUCGGAAUCCGGGAGGACCAUCUCCCAAGGCUAAAUACUCCCUAGUGACCGAUAGUGAACCAGUACCGUGAGGGAAAGGUGAAAAGCACCCCGGAAGGGGAGUGAAACAGUUCCUGAAACCGUGUGCCUACAAGUAGUUAGAGCCCGUUAAUGGGUGAUAGCGUGCCUUUUGUAGAAUGAACCGGCGAGUUACGAUUUGUUGCAAGGUUAAGCGGAAAAAGCGGAGCCGUAGCGAAAGCGAGUCUGAAUAGGGCGCAUAAGUAACAGGUCGUAGACCCGAAACCAGGUGAUCUACCCAUGUCCAGGAUGAAGGUAAGGUAAUACUUACUGGAGGUCCGAACCCACGCACGUUGAAAAGUGCGGGGAUGAGGUGUGGGUAGCGGAGAAAUUCCAAUCGAACUUGGAGAUAGCUGGUUCUCUCCGAAAUAGCUUUAGGGCUAGCCUCGAGGUAAAGAGUCAUGGAGGUAGAGCACUGUUUGGACUAGGGGCCCUUCUCGGGUUACCGAAUUCAGAUAAACUCCGAAUGCCAUGUACUUAUACUCGGGAGUCAGACUGCGAGUGAUAAGAUCCGUAGUCGAAAGGGAAACAGCCCAGACCACCAGUUAAGGUCCCCAAAUAUAUGUUAAGUGGAAAAGGAUGUGGGGUUGCUUAGACAACCAGGAUGUUGGCUUAGAAGCAGCCACCAUUGAAAGAGUGCGUAAUAGCUCACUGGUCGAGUGACCCCGCGCCGAAAAUGUACCGGGGCUAAACAUAUUACCGAAACUGUGGAUGAACCUCUUUAGAGGUUCGUGGUAGGAGAGCGUUCUAAGGGCGGUGAAGUCAGACCGGAAGGACUGGUGGAGCGCUUAGAAGUGAGAAUGCCGGUAUGAGUAGCGAAAGAAGGGUGAGAAUCCCUUCCACCGAAUAUCUAAGGUUUCCUGAGGAAGGCUCGUCCGCUCAGGGUUAGUCGGGACCUAAGCCGAGGCCGAUAGGCGUAG